rnacentral:rRNA from 1 species
AUUGAACGCUGGCGGCAGGCCUAACACAUGCAAGUCGAACGAGUGGCGGACGGGUGAGUAAUGUCUGGGAAACUGCCCGAUGGAGGGGGAUAACUACUGGAAACGGUAGCUAAUACCGCAUACCAUCGGAUGUGCCCAGAUGGGAUUCGCUUGUAGGUGAGGUAACGGCUCACCUAGGCGACGAUCCCUAGCUGGUCUGAGAGGAUAACCAGCAACACGGGAACUGAGACACGGUCCCGACUCGUACGGGAGGAGGCAGUGGGGAAUAGUGCAAAAUGGGCGCAAGCCUGAUGCAGCCAUGCCGCGUGUAUGAAGAAGGCGUUCGGGUUGUAAAGUACUUUCAGCGGGGAGGCGUUACCCGCAGAAGAAGCACCGGCUAACUCCGUGCCAGCAGCCGCGGUAAUUC